rnacentral:rRNA from 1 species
CGGUCCAGACACCUACGGGUGGCAGCAGUCGAGAAUCAUUCACAAUGGGGGAAACCCUGAUGGUGCGACGCCGCGUGGGGGAUGAAGGUCUUCGGAUUGUAAACCCCUGUCAUUUGUGAACAAACCUUUUGGUUUAAUAGAUCAAAAGCUGAUAGUAGCAAAAGAGGAAGGGACGGCUAACUCCGUGCCAGCAGCCGCGGUAAUACGGAGGUCCCAAGCGUUGUUCGGAUUUACUGGGCGUAAAGGGUGCGUAGGUGGCCAGGAAAGUUUGAUGUGAAAGCUCCGAGCUCAACUCGGAAAAUGCAUUGAAUACUACUUGGCUUGAGGAUCGGAGGGGAGACUGGAAUUCUCGGUGUAGCAGUGAAAUGCGUAGAUAUCGAGAGGAACACCAGUGGCGAAGGCGAGUCUCUGGACGAUUCCUGACACUGAGGCACGAAAGCUAGGGGAGCAAACAGGAUUAGAUACCCUGGUAGUCCUAGCCGUAAACGGUGCACACUUGCUGUAGGAGGAUUCGACCCCUUCUGUGGCGGAGCAAACGCGUUAAGUGUGCCGCCUGGGGAGUACGGUCGCAAGAUUAAAACUCAAAGAAAUUGACGGGGGCCUGCACAAGCGGUGGAGUAUGUGGCUUAAUUCGAUGCAACGCGAAGAACCUUACCUGGCCUUGACAUGCAUCUCUAAGCGUGUGAAAGCACGUGACCCUUCGGGGAAUUUGCACAGGUGCUGCAUGGCUGUCGUCAGCUCGUGUCGUGAGAUGUUGGGUUAAGUCCCGCAACGAGCGCAACCCUUGUGUCCUGUUGCCACUUCCGCUAACGCGGAAAGCACUCUGGACAGACUGCCUCGUCUCAACGAGGAGGAAGGUGGGGAUGACGUCAAGUCAGUAUGGCCCUUACGGCCAGGGCUGCACACGUACUACAAUGCCUGGUACAAUGGGAAGCAAUACCGUGAGGUGGAGCAAAUCCUCAAAACCAGGCCCAGUUCAGAUUGUAGUCUGCAACUCGACUACAUGAAGUCGGAAUCGCUAGUAAUGGCGCAUCAGCUACGGCGCCGUGAAUACGUUCCCAGGCCUUGUACACACCGCCCGUCACAUCAUGAAAGCCGGUUGUACCCGAAGUCGCUGAGCUAACCCGCAAGGGAGGCAAGUGCCGAAGGUAUGGCUGGUAAUUGGGAUGAAGUCGUAACAAGGUAGCCGUAGGGGAACCUGCGGCUG